rnacentral:lncRNA from 1 species
UUGAGUGAUUUAAAAAAUUAAGUCCCCCUUUCUAAGUUCAAAUUUGGAGUUAUGGGACACCUCCCCAUAAAAUAUAAGUCACAUACAGAUAACUAUUAUUAUCUUCAUUUUUUUCAUCUAUUAUUUUUUUAUUUUACUUUUAUUUCAAUUACUCUAUCAUUAAUUUUUUGUUCCACUUUAUAUCAACUUGCAUGUUUGAAAAAUAAAAAAGAUGCAUGUAGCCAAUUUAAACUUAUGUUUAGUUUUAUCAUUGUACGAUAAAACAAGAAUUUAAUAGCAAAAUAUUUCAAAUACUUAUACUUUGUUUUUGCAAUCCUCUAUCUUAGCAGUAUAAUAUAUGAAAUGCCUAGUUACAUUUUUGUUAUUUACAACUGAUUAUAAUUCCUUUCAUUAUUACAACACACGAAAAUUAUUUUAUAAGUAAUGGCAGUAUUCAACUUGGCCUAGUUAAACCUUAAAGACUGAAAACAAAUAGGAACAGCUAAUAGUGAACUUGAUAGGGAUGGUAAAAUGCGAACUUGGGCCGGGCUUUUCUAAGUCGAGGCCCAAGUUCAUUAUAGGGGAAGCAUAAUGGUUGGCCUUGACUUUCACUUAUUUUUUAAUUUUUUUAAUUAUUACAAAUUUA